ensembl:lncRNA
CUCAGAAAAGUUUUAUGUCCUCCAAACUAUAAAUGUCAGGUGGCAGUACAGGGCAGUUUAUUUUUCUGUAGAAAUAUAUAAUUUUUUUUUUUUCCAUGAAAAUAUUUUUCGUCUCUCUUCCUCUCAAAAAACUAAAACCCACCUAAAACAACCAAGCUCGGAUGGCGGAGGGUGAACGAAAAGGACCAGCAGCAGCCACGCACCCAGAGAUCUCCAUGAACACCCAGGUGAAACGUGGAAGAGUUGUUCCAGAAGAAAACAACUGCAUUGUCCACCUUAACUGAAGGCAGCUGCAGAAAUCAAAAGCAUGAAAAGCUUUUUUUGCACUUAUAAACAGUGAUGCUCAUUGUAAAGAAAAAAACCAUCCUUUUUCAGUACCUUCUCUUCUGUGUGUCGCAGACGAUGGUUAUAGAUGACAGUUAGGGAAGUUCCAUAGGAAAUUCCCCUGAAGUUGCAAAAAGUACCUCUCUGUAAUAUGGUUAUAUUUGACAGCGCAAAAAGCGUUUUUAAAACUUGCCAAAGACAGAUGAAAAAUGCAGCAAUUGUGAAAGAAACAGAUAUUCAGUGCUUCGGGGUUGAGGGCCCACGUGCACCUUUGAAAAGAACUAACGUUAGGCAUCCCAUUUUUUAGUACUGCUAAUGCAACUUUGGUCCAGACGAAUGGAUCUGCACUGAAUUUUCUGCAGUCUCGCACACAGCUGGAGACAGUGGAAUAUUUUCUGCUACUCUUUGUAAAUACCCCAUAAAACGCACAGUAAGGAGCUACUUCAGCCUGGCAUCAAGGCAGGCGGUCAAUGUCACCUCCCUGCAGCAAAGCCUAGGAGCACCACUUUGAAGCAAAGCACGGGCCCUGGGCUCUGUUGAGUAGGGGCCCAAAAAUCUGACAGACACACCCCGAAGUCAGGAAUAAUAGGAUUCCACCCCUAUUUUAUAUGCUCAACUGCAGGCUUCCAGCUCAGAGCCAGUCAUCAGGACUCUCUGCACAGCAAGCGGACAGAGAGAAGUACAGCAAGAGUGUGACUCACCCUGCUAGGUUGGGUGUCGGAAAGAGGUCACACCAGCCAUGGGCUGUAACUGUGUGUUUCUCCAUCGUUCAGUUACAGCAUUUACAGCAAGUGACUGGAUGACACAUAGACUUCUACUUCCCUGGCACCUAAAACAAUAUGAGACGCAUCCCAUUCAGAACAAAACAAAGUCUAUAGAGAAACUUUGGGACACAGGAGAGGAAGAGAAACAAGUCUACAGAUCUUUUUUUUUUUCCUCUUUUUUAAUUCCUGCAUGAUCCUGCUGCAUCAGUUAUCAGGCACACCGUGUGGCACUCAACUGUCCUUUCGAAACGAGGCAGAAAAUUGUUUUCACCACACCAGAAAAUAUCAGUUAUAUAUCAACCAUUUUUGGGAUGUCCAAGGAAAAACUCUCAAUUCCCCCAAGGUGGAGCAGGAAAAGAUACAGAAGAGAGGAGAAAUCAGUAGUUGCAUGACAGCCUCUUAAAAUACGGUGAAUUUCCACUGAUUUCAAAAAAUUUGACCCCAGUUUGAUUCUAGGAUAACAUUUGACUUGAAAGGAGAGGAAGCCAUUCCUCCUCUUCACAUCCUGACUUCUGUUUACACAGACUUAUUGUGCAACUCAUCCUUGCUGCUGAUCCUCUUAUGCUCUGAAUCAUGACAUUUGCUUGGACUGUUAUGAUAAAAACUCAUUCAAUUCUGGCAGAUAAAGUCUCUGUUUUCCAUGCAUGCCGGCAGACAACACAGUAAUAAGAACACAGAUCCAAGAGCAAAACUUUCAGAAGUUCUUCAGGGCACGCAUUGAAAAGGUGGAAAAGUGUGUCAGAAGUGAAAAGGGGCCACCAAAUGGGUGUAAAUAGAAUUCUGCUGCAAGGCUAUUUUUCACUGCCAAGAAGGUGUAACAAGGCCUCAGAGUUAAUGAGAAUCAAGCCUUAAGGCAAAGAAGACAGAUGUUGGCUCACAGCCCAAAGAUAAAUUAAUGUCAGAUAGCAGAAUAGACAAUGCAACAACGUAACUCAACUGAUUUUAAUACAAAUAGAUAGUGACGUCAAAGGCAGGAGCCCUUUACACAGCAUGGACAAGGUGGGAGCAAGGAACCAACCUACAGGAAUGGUGGCAUCUGCUACAAUCUCCUGCCAGGUCAGCCUGGGUAAACAACCAACCACUCAAGUCAAAAGCUUCAUCAUAGCGAGCUCCUGAUACUUCUCUCUGGAUGCAAACAGCACCUCAUAUUUCAGCUCAUUGGAAAAGUUUGUAGAUGACUUAUCUGUGCUUUUGCUCAACUCUCUACGAGUGAUCCUCCUGCAUAAACUCAUUCUGAGCAGAAAUCAAUAGCUCUUCAGGUGAACUGGACGUACCUCUCAAUUCUGGAAAGAUGGGUUUAUCAGGAUCUUUCAAAAUCAUACGCAAUCCAUCCUGGUCAUUUGUACACAGUCAUAUGCAAGAGGUUCGCAUUUUCACUCUUGUUAAGAAAGUGACAGCUCAAACAGGUAACCAACAAGAGCUAAUGACAGAGAAGAUAGAAAUUCAUCACCUCUCCCACCUUGGGUUUUCUAAGAACUUUCUCUAUGCAGAACAUCAGCACGAGACCUCUCCUCGCAAUGCUUCUGCUUUAAUUGCAAGUCUCAGCAUCUGCCUGGCAAGCAACUAUUUUUUUUCCAGGGGUUCAUAACUCCAGUUUAACAGAUUGCUUUAGGCUGACACAUGGUUUCAACUUGGGAGCAAGCAUUUCUUUUAUAAACGGCUUUUUCUUUUCUUUUAAAUGGUGAUUUCUUUUUGUGUUUGCUUGUAAUGUAUGUAAAAUGAUUUGGGAUGCUUUUUGCACUUGUGUACAGUAACUCAAAAGCAGCUUUCAUUGGAACAGUGGAAUUUGGCAAGUGAACAGUCAAUAUUGCCCUCUAAUUGCUUUUAGCGUCUUUGCAAAAAUAAAAACGUCAUUUAAAAUGGCUGAAAUAUUUCAAUUUGAAAAGUGGCUACUGAACAGGCACAAUAAUGGCAUGGAUUUUUACCCUGAGUAUGUAAUGCACGUAUUCAGAAUAAUGUGAUCCCUAAAAUAUAUAUCCCCAGAUUAGGGCAGGACUAAUCAUUGAUUUUUUUUUUUAUUUUUUUCAGUUCAGUGGAUGAAAUGGAAAAAUAAAAUCUGCUUGGGUUGAUUCAAAAUACUCCUCUUUCCUUCUCUUCCUCCAUCAAAAUCCAAAACAUUUUCCAGCGAUGGUAACAGA